rnacentral:rRNA from 1 species
CCUACGGGUGGCAGCAGUGAGGAAUAUUGGUCAAUGGACGCAAGUCUGAACCAGCCAUGCCGCGUGCAGGAAGACGGCUCUAUGAGUUGUAAACUGCUUUUGUACGAGGGUAAACGCAGUAACGCGUCUCUGUCUGCAAGUACCGUAUGAAUAAGGAUCGGCUAACUCCGUGCCAGCAGCCGCGGUAAUACGGAGGAUUCAAGCGUUAUCCGGAUUUAUUGGGUUUAAAGGGUGCGUAGGCGGUCGGAUAAGUUAGAUGUGAAAUCCCGAGGCUCAACUGGGGAAUUGCCUCUGAUACUGUGCGGCUAGAGAGUAGUUGCGGUAGGCGGAAUGUAUGGUGUAGCGGUGAAAUGCUUAGAGAUCAUACAGAACACCGAUUGCGAAGGCAGCUUACCGAGCUACUUCUGACGUUGAGGCACGAAAGCGUGGGGAGCAAACAGGAUUAGAUACCCUUGUAGUC